GAUAGCAAAGGGUAGGAGGGUGACUCUGGGGAGGAUAAGGGAGAGGGGGACUAGAACCUGCAGAGCCAGAGGUAGUAUAGCACUUGAGGACAGAGCCUGUCAGUCUGGGAGAGGGAGCAAGUGCCUUUUCAGUAGGGACUGCCUAGUUAGUGAUCUAGGCAAAAUAAGGUCUCUUCCCCGUUCUAGGCAGAGGUGGGGCGAAGGGAAGCUCAUUAAUGCUCUUUAAUGAGCAAUUAGCUAAGAGGGCUGAGUGAGCCCUUUAGCCAGCCUCGACCGUCCUCCCAGCUGGCUGGCCCAGCAUGAAAUGGCUGAGGGAAACUUAAUGUGACUGAGCUCUCUUUCCUUCAUCCAAAAAAACCAACCAGCAAUCAAGGUCUAGAGUGGGCAGAGUCCCGGACUGAGGGUGGGGAGCUCAGUCAUUUCUGAGUCCCUCUCUUCCCCCUCCCAAUUUAAAGGUGCAUUUGGAGAAGUGUCCUUACUCUCUCCUGGAGAAGCCUCAGCCCAUACUGAUGACUCCUGGAGCUGGUUAGGGGCAGUUUGUGGGGAAAGGUCACUGAGCAGGAGGCGGGGGCCACAGGAGUUAGGGAAGUGAGACAGCAGAAGGCUGAGGGCUCACCUUUGUCCCAGGGCUUGGGGAAGGAGAGAUGAGACCUUAAUAGGACACCUGACUCAGAGAUUUGACUAAGUCACUUAACCUGCCAGGUGAGGGUUUGCAUCAACCCAUGGCCAUGCUUCCAGAACCCAGCCAAUGCCAUCGCUUUGGGCUCUUGUCCCCACUACACCCAUGUUCCCAACCUUCCUCAUGCUGUGACCCUUUAAUACGGUGCCUCGUGUUGGGAUGACCCCAACCAUAAAGUUGUUUUCAUUGCUACUUCAUAACUGUAGCUUUAUUUAUAUGAAAGAAUCCUGGGCUCUUUUCUCUUCUGGAGACCGAGUCUUGCUUUUCCACCCAUACCCACCCUCUGUAACCUCUGGUGUCCCUCUCUGAGGCAUUCCUAAUUCAUACACUAUGGCCCUUGGUCCCUUCUUACACCAUUUUGUUCCAAAGCCUUGGGUCAGUGUGAUGGAAAAUACAAAUGGAGAAGGGGUGACGUCAGUGUGGUGCACACAUCUCUGUACAUGUGACCACAGAGGAGUUUGAGGGCCUCUUUCAGACAAGUCAUCAGGACUAGAGAGUUCAAGGGCAACAGAGAUGAAGAGUCCACCUAACCGUGAUCGACUUUCUUAUAAAAGCAACUCCAUCCCCCCUUCACAGAGGAAGUGAGAAGCUUGCCAAGCCCACCAAGCUCUGGCUGUCCUGGAACUCACUGUAGACCAGGCUGGCCUCAAGCUCAGAGACCUCCUUACCUCUGCCAACCAAGUGCUAGGAUUCAAGGUGUGUGUACCACCCCCACGAGGUUUUUUAAGUCUUGAUUUUAAGAGGGCAGGAAACCAAACAUCUCUUUAGGGGUCUUUUGGGAGAAAGGCAAACCUAUAUGUUUUCCUUCCUGGCACCCAUAGUUGAGCACUUCUGUGAAUCUCAAGCCACCCUUUGGCAUCUCCCAUGGCUACCUACUCUCCUUCCUACCUGUACAGAGUACCUAAUUAGGCCCUUCUCCCCAGCACCAUGAACAGGGACUCUGCAGUGAGGAGGGUCCUUCAGAGGAAGUACGUAGAAGGAGGUCUUGAUUGCCAAGUCAUUGGGUAUUAGAGGACUGUGCCACAAGAAAAGACACAGCAAGAAUUUCCAGCUCUGAGGCCUCAAACCUUAGGUUCAGUCUGCAGCACAGAAGGUGUGGUGGCAAAUGCCUGUAACCCUUGAACUCCUGAGGACCAGGAGAAUGAGACCAACCUGCAUUACAUGCAAAUAUAAUUAUAAAUCAUUUGCAAAGACCCAAUGGGCCCUCAGCUCUUUGGGGAUACAGACUGGGUUCAAGGCCAGUCUUAAGAUAUAUUCAAUUCUGUCUCAAAAAAAAAGGAAGAAGAAGAAAGGAAGGAAGGAAGGGAGGAAGGAA